UGCCCAAUGAAAUUUAAAUGGCUGCAGUAUUAUGACUGUACAAAGGUAGCAUAAUCAAUAGUUUCUUAAUUAGAAGCUGGAAUGAAUGGAUUAACGAAAAAUUUUCUGUCUCUUAUUAAAUAAUAGAAUUUUAUUUUUAAGUAAAAAAGCUUAAAUAUAAUUAAAAGACGAGAAGACCCUAUAGAGUUUUAUAUUUAGUAAAUUUUUAAAAAAAAAUUUAUUAAAUAAUUUGUUGGGGUGAUUAAAAAAAUUAAUUAACUUUUUUUAUUUUUAAACAUUAAUUUAUGAAAAAAUGAUCCAUUAUUAUGAUUGAAAGAUCAAAUUACCUUAGGGAUAACAGCGUAAUAUUUUUUUAAAGUACUAAUUAAAAAAAAUGAUUGCGACCU
rnacentral:rRNA from 1 species